AUGAACGCUAAAAUAUCAGAUUUUGGAUUAGCAAAAAUAUUGAGCUCAAAUAACACUGACACAAAUACUACAAGAAAAGUGGUUGGUACAUAUGGCUACAUGGCACCUGAGUAUGCAUCCCACCACAUUUUCUCUAUCAAAUCGGAUGUAUUCAGCUUUGGAGUUUUAACUCUCGAGAUCGUUAGCGGGAAGAGGAAUUCCCAUGAAUGUGGAGCUUUCAUCAACCUCCUUGGACAUGCUUGGCAAUUAUUUGAAGAGGAAAGCUGGAGCGAACUCAUUGAUGCAACAUUGGUUCCCAACAUUUAUUCGACAGAAAUGAUGAGGUGCAUUAACAUUGCACUGUUGUGUGUACAAGAGAAUGCAGUUGAUCGACCAACAAUGUUGAAUGUAAUUGCAAUGCUAAGCAACAAGACCAUGAUCUUACAAAAGCCUAAGCACCCAGCAUAUUUCAGCUUAAGCACUGCAGGGAACAAAGAAGCACCCACUACUACUCAGUCUUGUAGUGUUAAUGAUGUGACUAUAUCUACGGUGACGCCUAGAUAG
rnacentral:rRNA from 1 species